rnacentral:pre_miRNA from 14 species
AGCUCGAGUCUCAGGAUGGCGCGCCCCAGGAAACACCGAUCCCAGACGAGCCCCCAAAUGAAAGAUCCCUGAAGGAAGACCCUUAUUCAAGUCUUGAAAUUGCGGACCCCAGACACAGAGAGACCA